AUUGAACGCUGGCGGCAGGCCUAACACAUGCAAGUCGGACGGUAGCACAGAGGAGCUUGCUCCUCGGGUGACGAGUGGCGGACGGGUGAGUAAUGUCUGGGGAUCUGCCCGAUAGAGGGGGAUAACCACUGGAAACGGUGGCUAAUACCGCAUAACGUCGCAAGACCAAAGAGGGGGCCCUUCGGGCCUCUCACUAUCGGAUGAACCCAGAUGGGAUUAGCUAGUAGGCGGGGUAACGGCCCACCUAGGCGACGAUCCCUAGCUGGUCUGAGAGGAUGACCACCCACACUGGAACUGAGACACGGUCCAGACUCCUACGGGAGGCAGCAGUGGGGAAUAUUGCACAAUGGGCGCAAGCCUGAUGCAGCCAUGCCGCGUGUAUGAAGAAGGCCUUCGGGUUGUAAAGUACUUUCAGCGGGGAGGAAGGCGAUAAGGUUAAUAACCUUGUCGAUUGACGUUACCCGCAGAAGAAGCACCGGCUAACUCCGUGCCAGCCGCCGCGGUAA
rnacentral:rRNA from 1 species